rnacentral:rRNA from 1 species
GACGAACGCUGGCGGCGUGCUUAACACAUGCAAGUCGAACGGAAAGGCCCUGCUUUUGUGGGGUGCUCGAGUGGCGAACGGGUGAGUAACACGUAAGUAACCUGCCCUUGACUUUGGGAUAACUUCAGGAAACUGGGGCUAAUACCGGAUAGGAGCUCCUGCUGCAUGGUGGGGGUUGGAAAGUUUCGGCGGUUGGGGAUGGACUCGCGGCUUAUCAGCUUGUUGGUGGGGGAGUGGCUUACCAAGGCUUUGACGGGUAGCCGGCCUGAGAGGGUGACCGGCCACAUGAGGACUGAGAUACGGCCCAGACUCCUACAGGAGGCAGCAGUGGGGAAUAUUGCACAAUGGGCGGAAGCCUGAUGCAGCAACGCCGCGUGCGGGAUGACGGCCUUCGGGUUGUAAACCGCUUUCGCCUGUGACGAAGCGUGAGUGACGGUAAUGGGUAAAGAAGCACCGGCUAACUACGUG